CCUACGGGUGGCAGCAGUGGGGAAUAUUGGGCAAUGGGCGCAAGCCUGACCCAGCAACGCCGCGUGAAGGAAGAAGGCUUUCGGGUUGUAAACUUCUUUUUUCAGGGGCGAAGCAAGUGACGGUACCUGACGAAUAAGCCACGGCUAACUACGUGCCAGCAGCCGCGGUAAUACGUCGGGGGCAAGCGUUAUCCGGAUUUAUUGGGGGUAAAGGGCGUGUAGGCGGGAAUGCAAGUCAGAUGUGAAAACUAUGGGCUCAACCCAUAGCCUGCAUUUGAAACUGUAUUUCUUGAGUGCUGGGGAGGCAAGCGGAAUUCGGGGUGUAGCGGUGAAAUGCGUAGAUAUAAGGAGGAACACCAGUGGCGAAGGCGGAUUGCUGGACAGUAACUGACGCUGAGGCGCGAAAGCGUGGGGAGCAAACAGGAUUAGAUACCCGAGUAGUC
rnacentral:rRNA from 1 species